AGUAAAAUGACCGAGAAUUAGGUGAUAAAUUGUAAAUUUAUAAACGGAAAUUAUUCCCUUUACUA
rnacentral:tRNA from 1 species